UCUCUUGGAAUUUAAAACAACAUUUGCAANAUUCAAUUGGACUAAAUCGAAGCCCAUGAUUUACUAUUCCUCUUAAGGGCAUUGGCUAGAAGAUGCAACCUUAAUAAAGUAUAAAAUCAACACUAACCCAUG